rnacentral:rRNA from 1 species
AACGAACGCUGGCGGCAGGCCUAACACAUGCAAGUCGAGCGAGGACUUCGGUUCUAGCGGCGGACGGGUGUGUAACGCGUGGGAAUGUGCCCUUCUCUACGGACUAGCCCUGGGAAACUGGGAGUAAUACCGUAUACGCCCUAUUGGGGAAAGAUUUAUCGGAGAAGGAUCAGCCCGCGUUGGAUUAGGUAGUUGGUGGGGUAAUGGCCUACCAAGCCGUCGAUCCAUAGCUGGUUUGAGAGGAUGAUCAGCCACACUGGGACUGAGACACGGCCCAGACUCCUACGCGAGGCAGCAGUGCGGAAUGUUAGACAAUGGGGGCAACACUGAUGGAGCCAGGCCGCGUGAGUGAUGAAGGCCUUAGGGUUGUAAAGCUCUUUCAGCUGGGCAGAUCAUGACGGUACCAGCACAGGAAGCCACGGCUAACUACGUG